GGAGCCGUGCCUGAAUAAAGGGCCACUUUGAUGGAGUGGAACAUAGGGGUUAAAUUCCCCUCCGCUCCU
rnacentral:tRNA from 2 species